GAUCCGUGUUGAUUGUGGUGUUCCUUUAGCACUUGCAGUGUUAAAACAGCUCUGGGGGCGGAGUUAUUGCGGCGAGUUAAGUGAUGCUCUCCUGACCGAGUUACUUGCACAUCCGGUUUCAACGCGCUCUUUCUUCUUGAAGUCACGGUGAAGAAAACCCGUGGUCAGGAAGAUAUUUAGCUGUUAUUUCAGAAGGUAUAUGCUAAACUGCGACAGGGACUAAAGAGGAAAAAGCGAGUGCCUAAUUGAUACCAAAACGUUUCUGCAAGAUAUCACCAUGCUGCUGAAGGUGAGAUACCAGAGUACCAAGAAGUACAUCCGAUUACAGCUAGGUUUCACCUAUUUGGAAUUCAUCACUGCAGUCAAAAACAAAUUUGGACUCCAUGAUGCAGCUGAACUUCACAUAUUUGAUGAAACUGACACCGCAGUGGAGGAAGACAUUCUUCUUGAACUGAUGGAGUCCAAUCCAGACCUUUGCCUGAUCGUGCGUGACAGCAUUUCAGAUGAAGGUAGGUUUCAUUAUUAAAUCUGCAUUUUGAAGCCUUUUAUGUCCCUAACUGUCUGACUACAGUGACAAAUUAGAUGAACAAAGAAAUAAUAUUUACGUAAAAGACAGAUCAGCA